GUAGGUGGCAAGCGUUGUCCGGAAUUAUUGGGGCGUAAAAGCGCGCGCAGGCGGUCCUUUAAGUCUGAUGUGAAAGCCCACGGCUCAACCGUGGAGGGUCAUUGGAAACUGGGGGACUUGAGUACAGAAGAGGAAAGCGGAAUUCCAAGUGUAGCGGUGAAAUGCGUAGAGAUUUGGAGGAACACCAGUGGCGAAGGCGGCUUUCUGGUCUGUAACUGACGCUGAGGCGCGAAAGCGUGGGGAGCAAACAGGAUUAGAUACCCUGGUAGUCCACGCCGUAAACGAUGAGUGCUAAGUGUUAGGGGGUUUCCGCCCCUUAGUGCUGCAGCUAACGCAUUAAGCACUCCGCCUGGGGAGUACGGCCGCAAGGCUG
rnacentral:rRNA from 1 species